CACACCGCCCGUCGCUACUACCGAUUGAAUGGCUCAGUGAGGCUUCCGGACUGGUUUAGGGAGGUCGGCAACGACCACCCCGAACCGGAAAGCUAUCCAAACUCGGUCAUUUAGAGGAAGUAAAAGUCGUAACAAGGUCUCCGUUGGUGAACCAGCGGAGGGAUCAUU
rnacentral:rRNA from 1 species